UGGGGGGUACGAGAGGGCCGCUACCACGCGAGUGGAUGCCAAUCCCCAAAACCUCUCUCAGUUCGGACUGGAGUCUGCAACCCGACUCCACGAAGCUGGAUUCGCUAGUAAUCGCGCAUCAGCCACGGCGCGGUGAAUACGUUCCCGGGCCUUGUACACACCGCCCGUCAAGCCAUGGGAGCCGGGGGUACCUGAAGUGCGUAACCGCGAGGAGCGCCCUAGGGUAAAACUGGUGACUGGGGCUAAGUCGUAACAAGGUAGC
rnacentral:rRNA from 1 species